rnacentral:rRNA from 1 species
UACGGAGGGUGCAAGCGUUGCUCGGAAUUAUUGGGCGUAAAGGGUAGGUAGGUGGUCUCGUUUGUCUGGGGUGAAAGCCUUGAGCUUAACUCAAGAAGUGCCCCAGAAACGGCGAGACUAGAGUCCUGGAGAGGGUCGUGGAAUUCCUGGUGUAGCGGUGAAAUGCGCAGAUAUCAGGAGGAACACCGGUGGCGAAGGCGGGUCUCUGGGCCGAUACUGACGCUGAGGAGCGAAAGCGUGGGGAGCAAACAGG